rnacentral:rRNA from 1 species
UACAGAGGGGGCAAGCGUUGUUCGGAAUUACUGGGCGUAAAGGGCGCGUAGGCGGCCUGCUAAGUCGAACGUGAAAUCCCCGGGCUUAACCCGGGAACUGCGUCCGAUACUGGUGGGCUUGAAUCCGGGAGAGGGAUGUGGAAUUCCAGGUGUAGCGGUGAAAUGCGUAGAUAUCAGGAGGAACACCUGCGGUGUAGACGGCUUACUGGACGGUAACUGACGCUGAGGCACGAAAGCGUGGGUAGCAAACAGG